UCAUCUUCUUCUGUCAGCCCGGCCGCCAUUGCUAUGGUGGGGGAAAAGCAUCUUUCACAGGCCUUUUCUAGAUCCCAAUAGGAUUGGUAAAGCUGUGCUGUUAACUGGCACCAGAAGGCAACAACCUGGCUGAAUCUGCAUUCAAAGAAUCCAGAGAUGACUGAGAGCUCAAGAAAGAGGUGGCUAUGUCACCAUGGUGUUACAAAAUGAGAAGGGGAGAGGUUCUGGGGCCCACAUGGUCUGCAGUUUCUUACUCAAACACAACUCUUGACUCAGAUGUGGUAAUGAGACUGCAAAAACUCCAUGUAUGGGAUCAAGCCUAAGAGAAAUGUCUCCAGGGCAAAACAAGGCCACAAGGUCAAAAAAGUACAGAAGAACUCAGAUAAGGGGUCAGAGAUACCGUUUGUGAAGCUCUGCCUGAAAUGCUAAACCUAGUGGCUAUUUAACAAUAUAUAAACAGCAAUGGGAAAAAUAAAAAUGGUUCUUGAAGUGAACCUAGAGUCUUGAGUCUGUCUACCCCUAGACCCCCUUUCCAGUUCCAGGCAUCAGAGGCCCAAGAUUGCAUUAUUUGAGGUUUAAGAGCAGGAAGGUUAAACUUAGUGUGGGUCAGAAAUACAGAAUAUAUGACAAGAAACUCACAUGAGAAAGGAAUAGUUUACUUAGGACCAAAGAAAUUGGCAGCUAAGUAUGCUAAAGGAGCCUGAAGAAUACAGAAAUAGUCAUGAAUGCUAUUCAGGUUGAUUUCUUUGACAGUUGGAUAAAAACAGACAAGACCAAAAAAACCACUGGAGGACAGAAAAUGAGUGAAGAAUGAGGUAGAAACUAAAGCACACAGUUACACACUUCUAGAUGAUUAGUGCAGUGAGAAUGAGAGGGGGAAUUGACAGGACCUGUAUGUGGAAGUCCAUUCCAACUUGCCACAAGUUCAGAGAGCUCAAAAUCACUCCUAUUGUCCUUGAGAUAUUAGCUUAAUGGCUAUAGGAUGCCCUGGCCUCGGUGGUGAAUGGCUCCUAUCUAAAUAAUAAUAGAGGUGGGCCCAGGUGAGUUUACACUUAACAUAAAGGCUAGGUGAUAAGUGCAGCUAUGAAGAGCCUGAUGGCCAAGUAGUACAUGCAGAUGCAGAAUGUCUUUAGAAUUAAGGGAAGUAAUUGCUAUUUGCCCUUUAUACAUGAGAAUAGAAGUCUUCUGCCCUCUUUGGUUGGUUA